AUGUUUUCUGAAGCAUCUGGGAGCCCUGGGAGCUGGUGGGAUUCCUUCCUGUCCUGCUGAGACCUGGCUUGGGUUUGAAAACCUGUGAUGCCUGCUCUUUGUGGCAUAGCUGGAGACUACCAGCUCAGGGAUGUUGUCCCAUAACUCAUCUCAGUGUCUUGGAAUUUUGCUGAAAGGGUGUUUAAUUUAAAACCUCUUGGGCCAUAAGCCAGACCCUUACUAUGGAGGCAGCAUCUCCUUACUCUUCGCUGCAAGAUGCCACAGCUUCUCAGCAAAUGCCAUGUGGUACAGGUGGGAAGAUGCAAUGCCGUGAUCCUGCAAGGUUUGGAUGGAGCGGCUAUUUUAUCAAGCCAUUUGCUGUCAGGACUUUCUCACUGAGAUGUGAGAGACCUCUGCACUGCCUCUCCCCCCCGUCCAGCCCAGUCAUGCCUUGGGAAGAAGCAAGGAGCGUCCUCAAGGAAAGGGGUGUGCGAGAGGCUUGG